rnacentral:rRNA from 1 species
CCUACGGGCGGCAGCAGUGGGGAAUUUUGGACAAUGGGGGCAACCCUGAUCCAGCCAUUCCGCGUGAGUGAAGAAGGCCUUCGGGUUGUAAAGCUCUUUUGUCCGGAGCGAAACGGGCGGCCCUAAUACGGUCGUCUACUGACGGUACCGGAAGAAUAAGCACCGGCUAACUACGUGCCAGCAGCCGCGGUAAUACGUAGGGUGCGAGCGUGGCUCGGAGUUAGUGGAGGUGAUGUGGUAAGCCGGAUGUGAAAUCCCCGGGCUCAACCUGGGAAUGGCAUUUGGGACUGCAAGGCUGGAGUGUGGCAGAGGGGACUAGAAUUCCUGGUGUAGCAGUGAAAUGCGUAGAUAUCAGGAGGAAUACCGAUGGCGAAGGCAGGUCCCUGGGUUAACACUGACGCUCAUGCACGAAAGCGUGGGGAGCAAACAGGAUUAGAUACCCGGGUAGUC